rnacentral:rRNA from 1 species
CCUACGGGUGGCAGCAGUGAGGAAUAUUGGUCAAUGGGCGGGAGCCUGAACCAGCCAAGUCGCGUGAGGGAAGAAGGUACUGAGUAUUGUAAACCUCUUUUGCCAGGGUACAAAGGCUGCCACGGGUGGCCUUAAGAGGGUACCUGAAGAAAAAGCAUCGGCUAACUCCGUGCCAGCAGCCGCGGUAAUACGGGGGAUGCGAGCGUUAUCCGGAUUUUUUGGGUUUAAAGGGUGCGCAGGGGGCGUGUCAAUUCAGCGGUAAAAGGUCGGGGCUCAACCCCGGCCGGCCGUUGAAACGGGCGUGCUCGAGUUGGAGAGAAGUAUGCGGAAUUCGUGGUGUAGCGGUGAAAUGCAU